GGCUCAGGAUGAACGCUGGCGGUAUGCUUAACACAUGCAAGUCGAACGGAAUGCUUAGGCAUUUAGUGGCGGACGGGUGAGUAACGCGUGAGAAUUUGGCUUCAGGUCGGGGACAACAGUUGGAAACGACUGCUAAUACCGGAUAUGCCGGAAGGUGAAAGGCUUGCUGCCUGAAGAUAAGCUCGCGUCUGAUUAGCUAGUUGGUAGUGUAAGGGACUACCAAGGCGACGAUCAGUAGCUGGUCUGAGAGGAUGAUCAGCCACACUGGGACUGAGACACGGCCCAGACUCCUACGGGAGGCAGCAGUGGGGAAUUUUCCGCAAUGGGCGAAAGCCUGACGGAGCAAUACCGCGUGAGGGAGGAAGGCUCUUGGGUCGUAAACCUCUUUUCUCAAGGAAGAAAAAAAUGACGGUACUUGUGGAAUAAGCAUCGGCUAACUCCGUGCCAGCAGCCGCGGUAAUACGGAGGAUGCAAGCGUUAUCCGGAAUGAUUGGGCGUAAAGGGUCCGCAGGUGGUACUGUAAGUCUGCUGUUAAAGAGUCUGGCUCAACCAGAUAAAAGCAGUGGAAACUACAGAACUAGAGUGCGUUCGGGGCAGAAGGAAUUCCUGGUGUAGCGGUGAAAUGCGUAGAUAUCAGGAAGAACACCGGUGGCGAAAGCGUUCUGCUAGGCCGCAACUGACACUGAGGGACGAAAGCUAGGGGAGCGAAUGGGAUUAGAUACCCCAGUAGUCCUAGCCGUAAACGAUGGAUACUAGGCGUGGCUUGUAUCGACCCGAGCCGUGCCGGAGCUAACGCGUUAAGUAUCCCGCCUGGG
rnacentral:rRNA from 1 species